rnacentral:rRNA from 1 species
CAGCAGCCGCGGUAAUACCGGCAGCCCGAGUGAUGGCCGAUCUUAUUGGGCCUAAAGCGUCCGUAGCUGGCCGCGCAAGUCUAUCGGAAAAUCCACCCGCUCAACGGGUGGGCGUCCGGUAGAAACUGCGUGGCUUGGGACCGGAAGGCGCGACGGGUACGUCCGGGGUAGGAGUGAAAUCCUGUAAUCCUGGACGGACCACCAAUGGCGAAAGCACGUCCCGAGGACGGAUCCGACAGUGAGGGACGAAAGCCAGGGUCUCGAACCGGAUUAGAUACCCGGGUAGUCCUGGCUGUAAACAAUGUCUGUUAGGUGUGGCUCCCACUACGAGUGGGUGCUGUGCCGUAGGGAAGCCGCUAAGCAGACCGCCUGGGAAGUGCGUCCGCAAGGAUGAAACUUAAAGGAAUUGGCGGGGGAGCACUACAACCGGAGGAGCCUGCGGUUUAAUUGGACUCAACGCCGGACAUCUCACCAGGUUCGACUGUAAUAAUGACGAUCAGGUUGAUGACCUUAUCCGAGUUUCAGAGAGGAGGUGCAUGGCCGCCGUCAGCUCGUACCGUGAGGCGUCCUGUUAAGUCAGGCAACGAGCGAGACCGGCAUCCUUACUUGCCAGCAGCACUGCGAAGUGGCUGGGACAGUAGGGAGACCGCCGUGGCCAACACGGAGGAAGGAACGGGCAACGGUAGGUCAGUAUGCCCCGAAUGCGCUGGGCAACACGCGGGCUACAAUGGUCGAGACAAAGGGUUCCAACUCCGAAAGGAGACGGUAAUCUCAGAAACUCGAUCGUAGUUCGGAUUGUGGGCUGCAACUCGCCCACAUGAAGCUGGAUUCGGUAGUAAUCGCGUGUCAUAAGCGCGCGGUGAAUACGUCCCUGCUCCUUGCACACACCGCCCGUCAAAGCACCCGAGUGAGGUCCGGAUGAGGCUCGUUACACGAGUCGAAUCUGGGCUUCGCAAGGGGGCUUAAGUCGUAACAAGGUAGCCGUA